UUACACUUCCCUUUCCUUUCUGUAUAGACGGACGCUCUCAUCUCUCUCUUUCUGGUUCUAGAAAUUUCAGUCGACACCCAACACUAAUUUCAGAAAUCCCAGACCACACCUCACAUCCUUCUGAGAUUGUGAAGACUCUCUCCUAGAAGCCAUUUUUUAGAAAAUUAGUUUGUACAGCGAAAUGGAGGGGCCGCCAAACAGUCUUAAACCGUCAAGUCAACUUCAAGAUCGACCCACAAGCAACUACCGAGUCACUUUCUUCAUUCCGACUAAGCUGCAGCGACGUGACUCGCAAAUGGCGUUCAUAAACGUCGUUCUUAUACUCACUUUCUUCCCUUUUUUAGUGGUUCCAGUUUUGAAAGUUGAUCACUUUCGAAGUCCAUAAUCAGCGACUGUAUAUACUGUUUCCUGUUUCUUUAGUGUUACUAUACUGGCCAAGAAUUCUCCAUUUGCACAUGCAGUGAAAGUGUUUUAACGUAUAGUCGCAGAUCGACAUUUUUUUAAUCCCUGGAUCUGAUUUCUUCGGCAUUACCCCAAAAGCAACGGCUGUACACAAUGAAAGUACACCACUCAAAAAGCACCUAUCUACACAAAGAAGUUUAUUUCUCAAUUUCGAAUAUAUAGGCAGUUCAAAUAAGGCUGGAAAUGUUCAAUUAAGUCACCAAAAGCAAGAUCCAGUGCAUAAUUGAGGCCCUUUUUCUUUUUUGAAAAGAGUCAUUUGGUGUUAAACCCAUAAUAAUAGAAUGGGAAUACUAUUGGCUCUAAGACUUCAUUGGUGGAAGAAACUCAUAGACUCUAAUUUGAAUUUCAUAUGUACGCACACCAUCAAGCUUUGAUAGCACUGCUUGUUUUCAAAGGAGAGAUGCCACCGGCAAGAAUGUAGAGAGGUGCCAUGAUGUUUGAAAUUUGUAUUUGUAUUCUGAUAAUAUCUUUAAUUUUCAGUGUUUGUAUUUGAUAUCAACUGAGGUGUUUUAUAGUUGUACAUAAACUCUGCUAUUGAAGGUAAUUAAUGCUAAAACUUUGGAGAUCAAA